rnacentral:pre_miRNA from 1 species
ACGGACGAAAGCCUCAGUUAGAUCUCUGGAGAGCUGUCUCAGAUCGGUGGGACUUUCGUUCGUCU